rnacentral:lncRNA from 1 species
UCCUUAACUUGUUGCUCCAAGGACAAGGGCUUCAGGCUUUCUUUAUCUAAGGACAAGGACAACCACUAGCUAGAUUUAAACAUUUUUGAAAACACAUUGUUUCCCAUUAAGCAAAACAUAAGUUUUGUAUAUGCAUACCUUGUUCAAAAGGGCACUUAGCUGGAUCUUCACCAAAGCAUCCACGUUUCUUCCAUGUAGGACAUAAUUAAUUUUUUUAUGACCAAGUUCUCAUAUCCAAUGAAACACAUUGUUUCCCACGUUCCUUUUUGAAUCUGUUAAAAUGGUGUUUGAUGUUGUGUGUUGUAUCCAGGAAGAAGAGGAAGAAUAAAAGGUCAGUUGGCGCGUUUUUACGACUUGGAUCGCUCCGUUCCACGGGAUUUGUCACGUGUCUUCUCAUCUACAAAAGAACCGUCAUUUGAUCUCUACGAGUCAGUUCAUAUUAAUGGGCUUUUCAUCUAGGCUCGGUAUAAAGCCCAUUUACGCAAAAGAGCAAAACUCAAGUCUUUGUCACUGCUCUGCUCUGCUCUGUUUAGUUCGGACAGAGUCUGAAUUCUAACUUAUAACAGAACAGGUCUGUGUAAAAACCUCAAAUCUUGCACAAUUUUUUUGUUUGCUUCGAAUUUUCUAAUGGCGGUGUAGCGUUGAACUUUCAGACUUCAAACCCUAUCAAAAACAACUUCUACUAACUGUUGGAGAUCUGUUUUGGCAUAAAGUUUAACUUAAAAUAGUAAGGUUCUGCUAUUUUCACUCAGAAAAUGAAACCACUGAAAAAAAUGAACUUCUUAUUUUGGCGCAUGUUUAGGCGUUUGUUUAGGGAUUAAUGAGAUGAAUGAUUCCAAGGGGAGGGGGCGUGACAGAGUCAAAAUAAAAAAGGUGUGAAACCACUGAAAAAGGGUGUGAUAUUUUUAACACUAGAGAGAAGAAACCCACCAAAUCCUCUCUCUCUGCGGAAAUGAGAGACCACAACCACCCACUCUCCCACUCAAACCAAAUCCAUUUGACAACUUUGGGAUUUCAAACUCUGAGACAGAUUCCAUUUACUCUCUCUACCAAAAAGAAGAAAAAGAAAAAAACUUUACCUAAUUACAAAUCUUUUUUUUGACUUUCAAAGACUCUCUCUCUCCUCUCUAUAGGAGGAUACAGCCAAACUCACUCUGAACUCUCUCCUCCAAAAACCUUUUCAACCCCUUAUCUUCUUUCUGACUAACCUCUGGUUUCUUGAAGCUGUUCACGUGAAAAGGUAUCUAAAAUGUAUUCCAAACCAUCACAUCUCUCCACCUCGUGAUUCCAUUAUGUCAUUCACACAGUCUGUCUUCUCUCUGAGAAUCUGAGAUCAUCCUCACCCACCUUUCUCCAAACUCCAAAAACAUGGGCCGCUUGUGUAUAUGGAGAACUCUCAUUCUCCUCUCCCUCUUCGUCAAGCAAGCCAAGAGCCAAGAUCCCAACACUGACGCCUCUCAUCUCUCUAACUUCUUCAACCAAAUGAGUUCUUCUUCACCCAAAGCUCACACAUUUUCUUCGUUAUGUUCUUCGCCAGGAGUAGUCUGCGACAGACAAAAACAGAACAUCCUCUACUUCUCAGCUUCCGGGUCGGACCUAUCCGGUCCCAUCCCCGACAACACCAUCGGCAAAAUGAGAAAGCUCCAAUCUUUAGAUCUCAGCCGCAACAAAAUCACCUCUCUCCCUUCAGACCUCUGGAGUCUAGACUCCCUCAAGCAUCUCAACCUCUCCUCCAACCUUAUCUCCGACCCUCUCCCCAGCAACAUCGGCAACUUCGUCUCGCUCCAGACCCUCGAUCUCUCUUUCAACACCUUCUCCGGCGAAAUCCCCGCUUCCAUAAGCUCCCUCGUCGGCCUCACAGCUCUCGACCUCAGCAACAACGCCUUUCAGUCUGUUCUCCCUCCGGGACUUCUCAAUUGCAGAUCUUUAGUCUCCAUCGACCUCUCCUCGAAUCGCCUCACCGGGUCUCUCCCUGCUGAGUUCGGUUCUGCAUUCCCGGAGCUGAAAAGUCUGAAUCUUUCGCGUAAUCUGUUCCAAGGCUCGGUGAACGGAGUCUUGCGUGGAAACGUGGAGACAGUUGAUCUCAGUAAAAAUCGCUUUGAUGGGCAUGUAUUGCAUUUAAUAGCUGGACGUAAACACAACUUGUCUGGUUUAAUUUAUCUUGACUUGUCUGAGAAUGGCUUUGUGGGGCAUAUACUUAACGGUUUGAGUUCAGCUCAUAAGCUGGGACACCUCAACCUCGCGUCUAAUCGUUUCAGAGUACAAGAGUUCCCACAAAUUUUAAAGCUUUCAGGUUUAUAUUAUCUGAAUCUGUCAAGAACCAAUCUGGCAGGUUCCAUUCCUAGUGGAAUCACUCAGCUGAGUCAGCUCAAGGUUCUUGAUCUCUCCUACAAUAACCUCAAUGGGAAUGUACCUUUGUUACCUCUCAAGAACAUUGAAGUACUUGAUCUCUC